GGCAUUUUAAGGCUCAGUCUUUUUCUCACCACUUGAAGUAGAUCCUUUUUUACUGAAAUAGCUUUAGUCAGCUAUUUUUUAGUAGUUAGCAGCUAGUAUUAGUAUUAUUAUGUCAAAGUAUUAUUGGCACUUUGCUACCCAACAUUGUCAACACUAAAAUGAGGUGUCUGCCAUAGUGUUUUUAUCCUGCUGCUGUUUGCAGUACAAGAGCGUCUGCUGUCAUGCUGGGCAGCGUCCUCUCUGUGGCUGCGAGAUAACGUAACCCAGCACCAUCAUAAAUGAUAAACAUUCACUCCGUCUGCACUACACACUCCACAGGCUGCCCUAGAAAAGUGCUUUGUACUUUUUUUUCACCAUUGUGGCCGUAAUUCAACUCUGAGUCCUCGAGAGAAGUUGCUGAUGUUGCACAACUUCCCUUUUCUCCCACAUAAUGUGACUAUUACAUUUCUCAUACAGUGCAAUUUGAAAGUGCCACUUGUGCAAACAUUUUGAACACACAAUGCGACCAGACUUGACUUGCAGCCGACUCACUGCUGUUCUUUGCACCACAAGUCUUUUUUUACUGUUGACAUACGGGGUUCUGGAGCCUAUCCCAGCUGACAUUGGGCGAGAGACAGGGUACACCCUGGACAGGUCGCCAGACUAUUGCAGGCUUAACAACUAGAGAGACAAACAUUCACACCUACGGGCAAUUUAAAGUCACCAAUUAACCUGCAUGUCUUUGGAUUGUGGGAGGAAGCCGGAGUACCUGGAGAAAACCCACGCUGACAUGGGGAAAAACAUGCAAACUCCACACAGAAGAGCUUCUCCUCUCAGGGUUCAAACCAAGAACCCUCUUGCUGUGAGGCAACAGUGCUAACCACUGUAUCACCAUGUGAUUGUGCAUGACAAUAAAUUUGCCCUUGACUCUAGACUGUGA